GACGGAGGAUGCAAGUGUUAUCCGGAAUCACUGGGCGUAAAGCGUCUGUAGGUGGUUUAAUAAGUCAACUGUUAAAUCUUGAGGCUCAACUUCAAAAUCGCAGUCGAAACUAUUGGACUCGAGUAUAGUAGGGGUAAAGGGAAUUUCCAGUGGAGCGGUGAAAUGCGUAGAGAUUGGAAAGAACACCAAUGGCGAAAGCACUUUACUGGGCUAUUACUGACACUGAGAGACGAAAGCUAGGGUAGCAAAUGGG
rnacentral:rRNA from 1 species